ensembl:snRNA U6 U6 spliceosomal RNA
GUGCUCACUUCAGCAGCACAUAUACUAAAAUUGGAACUAUACAGAGAUUAGCAUGGCCCCUUCACCAGGAUGGCACACCAAAUCGUGAAAAGUUCUUUCUUUCU